UGUACUAACGACGGAGUAUUUAUCCCAGCCUCUCGGGGAGGAUUCCCCGUCACCGCCGCCGGGGGCUGCGCGGGGAGGGCUGGGGACACACACACCGAGACGGGGAAAGCCCCUCCGUGGGCGCCGCGGGGCAGGGGGCUUCGCCGAGAGACAGCCCGGGAGCGCUCGGGAGGGCACGUCCUGUACCUGCUGAACUAGCCCUCAUCGGGGAAAGAUGGCUUUCUGCUCCAGGCUGGGAAAGUUUAGGAGGGGGCUGAGGACACAGCGUCCGUUUUGUUUCCUACCGCCGCCUUUCUCUCCCAGGGAGGUGAAGGGGGGUAUUUUAGUUCAUGGCAAUGAAGAAGAUGCUCUACCUGAAUAGUUCAGAUAUUUCCAGCAUCUUUUCUGAUGCAGGGCUAUCAGAAACGCUCACUCGUGAGGCACUCGUGGGGCUACGUCUAGUUUCCAGACUCCGGUAUGUUUAGUUCAAAAUGGUUAUCAAUUACGGUAAUUACGAUCAUAAUUAGAUUAAUGAACCGUUUGCAGCCCAACCUACCGAGUGCAAAAACUUCGUCUUCUCCCAACGUCGUGCACUGAAAGCGGGCUUUAUGUAAACAAAUCCAAAUGAAGGGAGCGUAAAUCUACAGAAUCUACCCCCGGCUGCACUGGGGACUGGCGGCCGUCCUUCCGUCGUUAAAAAAAAAAAAAAAAAGCAAAAAGAAAAAAAAGACGACCCCAAGCUCGCAGGAGCCACCUCUGUGUUUCCACGUCAGGGAAAAACCCAGACUCUCGCUGCCUUCAGAGGUCUAGUGGCAAUACAAAGGCUGCCCCGGAAAGCUCUAGGCUAAGCGUCGUCUUGUGGAGGGAUGCGAAGGAUUUGCUUACAGCAAAAAAAAAAAAAAAAAACCACCAAACCACCUCUCCCGUUUCCAGAAAGGAAAACCUAGCUGCAUGUCCUCGAUAACAACUACUCAAUAAAACUAGUUUUGCCAGCCAUGUGUACAAAAGCCACGCAUCUGGUAAGGAAUAAAAUGUUAGCGUUCAGCCCUUUA